rnacentral:rRNA from 1 species
AGUGAACGCUGGCGGUAGGCCUAACACAUGCAAGUCGAACGGCAGCACGGUAAGAGCUUGCUCUUACGGGUGGCGAGUGGCGGACGGGUGAGGAAUACAUCGGAAUCUACUUUUUCGUGGGGGAUAACGUAGGGAAACUUACGCUAAUACCGCAUACGACCUACGGGUGAAAGCAGGGGAUCUUCGGACCUUACGCGAUUGAAUGAGCCGAUGUCGGAUUAGCUAGUUGGCGGGGUAAAGGCCCACCAAGGCGACGAUCCGUAGCUGGUCUGAGAGGAUGAUCAGCCACACUGGAACUGAGACACGGUCCAGACUCCUACGGGAGGCAGCAGUGGGGAAUAUUGGACAAAGGGCGCAAGCCUGAUCCAGCCAUACCGCGUGGGUGAAGAAGGCCUUCGGGUUGUAAAGCCCUUUUGUUGGGAAAGAAAAGCAGCAGGUUAAUACCCCGCUGUUCUGACGGUACCCAAAGAAUAAGCACCGGCUAACUUCGUG